CGCUGGCGGCGUGCCUAAUACCUGCAAGUCGAGCGAACAGACGAGGAGCUUGCUCCUCUGACGUUAGCGGCGGACGGGUGAGUAACACGUGGAUAACCUACCUAUAAGACUGGGAUAACUUCGGGAAACCGGAGCUAAUACCGGAUAAUAUAUUGAACCGCAUGGUUCAAUAGUGAAAGACGGUUUUGCUGUCACUUAUAGAUGGAUCCGCGCCGCAUUAGCUAGUUGGUAAGGUAACGGCUUACCAAGGCGACGAUGCGUAGCCGACCUGAGAGGGUGAUCGGCCACACUGGAACUGAGACACGGUCCAGACUCCUACGGGAGGCAGCAGUAGGGAAUCUUCCGCAAUGGGCGAAAGCCUGACGGAGCAACGCCGCGUGAGUGAUGAAGGUCUUCGGAUCGUAAAACUCUGUUAUUAGGGAAGAACAAAUGUGUAAGUAACUAUGCACGUCUUGACGGUACCUAAUCAGAAAGCCACGGCUAACUACGUG
rnacentral:rRNA from 1 species